UAACCUGCCCAAGAGAUCGGGAUAACACCUGGAAACAGAUGCUAAUACCGGAUAACAACAGAUGAUGCCUAUCAACUGUUUAAAAGAUGGUUCUGCUAUCACUCUUGGAUGGACCUGCGGUGCAUUAGCUAGUUGGUAGGGUAACGGCCUACCAAGGCGAUGAUGCAUAGCCGAGUUGAGAGACUGAUCGGCCACAUUGGGACUGAGGACACGGCCCAAACUCCGUAGGGAGGCAGCAGCG
rnacentral:rRNA from 1 species